AGCUCCAUUAGUGUAUAUUAAAGUUGUUGCGGUUAAAAAGCUCGUAGUUGGAUUUCUGUUGGGAAUGCGCGGUCCGCUCCUCGAGUGUGUAUCUGUGUCAGUCCCGGCAUCCUUGCGUCUCCUUAUGCUAUUAAUUUGGUGUUGGGAACGCAACUUUUACUUUGAGGAAAUUGGAGUGUUUACGGCAGGCAAUCGCCCUGAACAUAUUAGCAUGGAAUAAUAACAUAGGACCUUGGUCGUAUUUUGUUGGUUUCUACAGCUAAGGUAAUGAUUAAUAGGGACAAUUGGGGGCAUCCGUACUAACGCGUCAGAGGUGGAAUUCUUGGAUUGCGUUAUGACGAACUACUGCGAAAGCAUUUGCCAAGGAUGUUUUCA
rnacentral:rRNA from 1 species